AUUGAACGCUGGCGGCAGGCUUAACACAUGCAAGUCGAGCGGGGUGAGGUGCUUCGGUACUGAUCCUAGCGGCGGACGGGUGAGUAAUGCUUAGGAAUCUGCCAUUUAGUGGGGGACAACAUUCCGAAAGGAAUGCUAAUACCGCAUACGUCCUACGGGAGAAAGCAGGGGAUCUUCGGACCUUGCGCUAAAUGAUGAGCCUAAGUCGGAUUAGCUAGUUGGUGGGGUAAAGGCCUACCAAGGCGACGAUCUGUAGCGGGUCUGAGAGGAUGACCCGCCAAACUGCGAAUGAGACACGGCCCAGACUCCUACGGGAGGCAGCAGUGGGGAAUAUUGGACAAUGGGCGGAAGCCUGAUCCAGCCAUGCCGCGUGUGUGAAGAAGGCCUUUUGGUUGUAAAGCACUUUAAGCGAGGAGGAGGCUACCUAGAUUAAUACUCUGGGAUAGUGGACGUUACUCGCAGAAUAAGCACCGGCUAACUCUGUGCCAGCAGCCGCCGUAACAC
rnacentral:rRNA from 1 species